GUCAUGGUUUAUUUUCUUUACAGCUCCAAAAACCUCCAGAACACCUGAAGUGGAGGAUUCAAAAAGUGAUGCCGGUCUUGUAAUUGCCCUGCAAGACCAUCAAAUGGAUCAGGUGGUUCACUGUCACCAUGAAGAACCCCGAGACAUUCAAGACAAAGCCAUCUCCCAUCAACCUCAAGCCAUCCACCACCAACCACGAGCCUCUCCCAUUCCUCCAAAGAGAGUUGCCCCAUGUCAGAAGAAAGGUUCCAGAAAAAAGUGCUGAGGCUGCUUCCAGAGAUAAGGGACAUCGCCAGGCAUCAAGACCAUAGGGCACCACAAGAAGAGGACAUGGACAUUGUCCAGAUAAAAUCUUUGGCCGACUUCAUUGUCCUUGAACACAGAAGGUGAUGGAAGAUUCUUCUACUUCUGCAAAACUGAAAUCCGAAAUGUUGAAAGUUGGAGGGGUAACCCUCAGAGAAAAGUAAUUUGUGUGCUGUUUUCCAGUGGCAGGAAACAGGACGGGAGGAACCCAGAUGGACAGUAAAUGAGAG